GACGAACGCUGGCGGCGUGCUUAACACAUGCAAGUCGAACGGGAAGGCCCUGCUUUUGUGGUGUGCUCGAGUGGCUAACGGCUGAGUAACACGGGAGUAAUCUGCCCUUGACUAUGGGAUAUAUUCAGGAAACUGGGACUAAUACCGGAUAGGAGCUCCUGCUGCAUGGUGGGGGUCGGAAAGGUUCGGCGGUUGGGGAUGGACUCGUGGCUUAUCAGCUUGUUGGGGGGGUAGUGGCUUACCAAGUCUUUGACGGGUAGCCGGCCUGGGAGGGUCGCGGGCCACAUUGGGACGGGGAUACGGCCCAGACUCCUACGGGAGGGAGCAGUGGGGAAGAGUGCACAAUGGGCGGAAGCCUGAUGCAGCAACGCCGCGUGCGGGAUAACGGCCUUCGGGUUGGAAACCGCUUUCGCCUGUGACGAAGCGUGAGUGACGGUAAUGGGUAAAGAAGCACCGGCUAACUACGUG
rnacentral:rRNA from 1 species